GACGAAGGAUGCAAGCGUUAUCCGAAUUCAUUGGGUUUAAAGGGUGCGUAGGCGGCCAGAUAAGUCAGUGGUGAAAAUCCUGUUGCUUAACAACAGAACUGCCAUUGAUACUGUUUGGCUUGAGUAUAGUUGCUGUGGGCGGAAUAUGACAUGUAGUGGUGAAAUACAUAGAGAUGUCAUAGAACACCGAUUGCGAAGGCAGCUCACAAAACUAUAACUGACGCUGAAGGCACGAAAGUGCGGGGAUCAAACAGGG
rnacentral:rRNA from 1 species